rnacentral:lncRNA from 1 species
AAACGUCAAGCAAGUAUUUCAAUGUUGAACACUUGAACUUCAAGCUUAGAAUUCCGAUUUCCGAAUGAGAAAUUACGAUAAAUUAAAUUCGGGAAAACACAAUAACAUUAUAAAAUUAGAAUAUGAAUUCUUGAACAUUGAAGAGAACAGAGUGAUUGAUAAUUUGAGAAUUGAGAGAGAGAUUGAUAAUUUUGAGUGAGGAAAUGAAGAAGAGGGGAGGGUAUUUAUAGAUUUUAAGAAG